CCCAAAUGGUAAAUAUUUCUAGCUUAUUAGUAAUGUUUUUAAGCAUAUAAACAGGUUUUGGUGCAUGGAAUGGUCUCAGUAGAUAUUUGUGGACGAAUGCUUACUAGAUGAGGAAGUCUUCUUUCAACAAAAACUGAAAGCAAUCUGGCAUUUCUCAUUUGAUAUUUAAAAAGAACUAGGGACAGAGGAAAGCAGAACAGGCAAGAUCACUGGUUGGAUACCUAUAAUUAAAAUUUCAAAAAAAUGUUAUUCAUGUAGUUUCCCACUUUAAGGUAUAAUUAUGAGAGGCCUAUAGGUAUACCUAAAUUAGUAAGUCAACUAAUUGAAAUUUCUCUUUCUAUUUUGCUACAGGAGACAAGGCAGUUCCAGAGUCUCAGUCCACAGAACAGUGCCACGUUGAUUCCAUAAAAGAGAAUUUGGCUUGGAGGGAGUUUUGCCCCACACAUGCUAGUUGAGCAAAAACUGAACCAUAAUGAUCUAACUUUUUAUUAACUGGGAUUUAUUGAACAUGUCCAACAACUAGGCUCUUCCAGAAGACUUUAUGCCAAAGUAAAUAAAAGGAUCAAGAAACUGAGUCACAAAGAAAGAUUUGAUGGCAGUCUGCCUGACUCCAAAUCCUGGGCUUCCACUCCACAAUGUCUGAAUCUAAGACAAUAUCCUGCUGAAUAACGGAACCCAUCCAUCUCUUCCUCCCCCAGCUCUCUGCAUGCCUGGUGAUAAGUGGAGAACUUCUGCUUUCUUUCCGUUUGCUCUUUAAAUGGCUGACAUAAUCACAUAGUGAGUAAAGACAUGGCUCUUGAAGUUUGACUGAACCUGGGUUUCCAGCUCUUCUUCUUACUGGCUGUGACCUUUGGUGAGUUAUUUAAUUUUUCUUAGCUUCAGUUUCUUGGUCUAUAAAAAAAGGGGAUUAUAAUUCUUAUCUCAUAGGGUUGUUUUAAACAUUAGUAAGGUAAUAUAUGCAAGAUAUUUGGCAUAGUGAUAAGCCCUGAAUAAAUGGAAGGUAGCCUUUUUGUAAUUCAAUAUAAACAUUGGUGUUUCUUAUGACUCCAGUCUCACCCUUUUUCUAUUGUCAUCUGCAUCUGCUAAGCUGUCUCCUAUAUCCAAUCUGGAUAUGUGUGUGUGUG
ensembl:lncRNA